rnacentral:ncRNA from 1 species
GAAGUCAUCAAUUCGAGCCAUCUGGGGCUGUAGUAUGUUCCAAGGGUUGGGUUGUUUGCCCAUUAAAGCGGUACAUGAGCUGGGUUCAGAAUGUCGUGAGACAGUUU